ACGGCCAUAUCACUUUGAAACACCGGUUGUCGUUCUAUCAUCGAAAUUAAGCAAUGUCGAGCUCGGUCAGUACCUAGAUGGGUAAACGCUUAGGAAUACCAGGUGCUGUAAGC